GCUGGGCACGGUGAUGCAUGCCUGUAAUCACAGCUACUCAGGAAGCUGAGGCAGGAGGAUCAUAAGUUCAAGGACAGCCUUAGCAACAUAGUGAGGCCCUGUCUCAA
rnacentral:sRNA from 1 species